rnacentral:rRNA from 1 species
AUUGAACGCUGGCGGCAUGCUUUACACAUGCAAGUCGAACGGCAGCACGGGCUUCGGCCUGGCGGCGAGUGGCGAACGGGUGAGUAAUAUAUCGGAACGUACCCAGAAGUGGGGGAUAACGUAGCGAAAGCUACGCUAAUACCGCAUACGAUCUAUGGAUGAAAGCAGGGGACCGUAAGGCCUUGUGCUCCUGGAGCGGCCGAUAUCUGAUUAGCUAGUUGGUGGGGUAAAGGCUCACCAAGGCGACGAUCAGUAGCUGGUCUGAGAGGACGACCAGCCACACUGGAACUGAGACACGGUCCAGACUCCUACGGGAGGCAGCAGUGGGGAAUUUUGGACAAUGGGCGCAAGCCUGAUCCAGCAAUGCCGCGUGAGUGAAGAAGGCCUUCGGGUUGUAAAGCUCUUUUGUCAGGGAAGAAACGGUAGAGGCUAAUAUCCUGGGCUAAUGACGGUACCUGAAGAAUAAGCACCGGCUAACUACGUG